GACGAGUCUCACAAACGUUAUUCGGAAUUACUGGGCUUAAAGGGUGCGUAGGCGGUGGAGUAAGUCGGAUGUGAAAUAUCAUAGCUUAACUAUGGAACUGCACUCGAUACUACUUUGCUAGAGUAAGACAGAGGUGAGUGGAACUGAGGGUGGAGCGGUGAAAUGCGUUGAUAUCCUCAGGAACACCGGUGGCGAAGGCGACUCACUGGGUCUUUACUGACGCUGAUGCACGAAAGCUAGGGUAGCAAACGGG
rnacentral:rRNA from 1 species